AAACGAUCCCCGGAUGAAGAGAAGGAACCGCAAACACCUUCGACCGACACGACGACGGUGAGGACGAGUGUCCGAAGAUCCGGAGAACAAAGACAACGGGGAUUUUCUCAAGUUUUUUGCUGACCGUUCACUUCGCCAGUGGGACAUCUCUACCGCAAGAUGCAGGGCUCAAUUUCGGGAAUCUGAAGAUUUCGGAGGGGCUGAAAUCUUCACGAAAUGCGAAACGGUCGCCGUUAGAGGUGGGUUUCGUGUCGUUCGAUCUGGAUCAGCGUUACAGUAGGCACUUCAACAUUCCUACAGCUGAGCCCUUACAUAACGUGAUCCAGAAUAAGGGGAUUCCUAUUGUGCCAAAGUCGAGAACGAUUUCAACGAGCUCAUCGAUUUUAAAAGGAAAAGGACCGAAAGCAGAUCACAUCUCACUACCCUUUGGAAAAGAGCACGUAAUUCUUCCUACGUUAAAAAAUAUUCACGUUAUAGAUCCGAAGAUCCUCGUCGAUCACAAAGAACUCCUCGUGGAUCACGCGGCCAACGUAGUCCUAGACCAGAAACACGUAAUCCUGGAACAUUCUCCCGGAAAAACUUUACACCUCGGACACUCCGGCGCUGCACCGAGCGCAGUCCUCUUGAGUCAUCCGGUUGACGGUCAUACGGUCAUUUUUGAACACAAACCGGUGCUGGUGGACCAACGGGGUCAAGAAACAAACGUCCUUAUCCACUCUGCCCCGAAGACCUUGGUCAUCGAACACAAACCCUUGGCGCACCCUCGUGAAAAGGACAUCGUGGUACACCCCAAAACGAUAGUUCUCGGGACCAGUAGGACCCUCGUACUUUCUCCAAAGAGUCAAAUUCACGAGAUAAUCGUUCAUAGACACGUACCGAAGACGGUAGUCGUUCAUCAAGCCGUCGACGAGGAUAGAAACAUUUUCAGAAGCCAUUUCGGAGGCUUCGGAUCUGGACUGAAUUACGGCGGACAUGGUGCCGGACAUGGCUUCCAUGUGCCUGUCUUCUGAGGUUACAGCUAGAUUAACCGCGGAGGGACACCUGAAGACCGUUUCCACAAAAGAUAAAUCAUCGUUUUUCUAUCAGGAAGUUGUGAGACGCUGUACCUAAGGAGUGCGAGUAUAAUUUAUUGGAUAGAAAUAAAGUUGAGAUUAUUCGUUCGUUCAUACGAUUAUUUGACUCCCAUGCGAUGUUCUUGAUUUAAAUUCCCGAUAAUGUGCAGAUGUGAUGAUUACACAUUUUCAGAAAUUUAUACACCGAGAUUCUAUUCUAUUUUAUUUUAACACUUCUUCGCAGGGGUUCUUGUCCUUAAUGACCUAUGAGAUAACUGUGGGCUGCAGAGAACAAUUACCACGCGAAUUCUAUCCACAGGAAAUUACGUCGUUAGGCUGACUCCAAAAGUUCUUUUAGAUAGAACAAGAUAAGAAUCCGCUUGUAGGAGAGCCGAUUAAAGAGAUAAUUAAGUUCGUAUAACAAUCUGGUAAGGUACAUAUAAAGUCCUUGCAUCGGUUUCAACAAUCUUAUUC
rnacentral:misc_RNA from 1 species